CUCCUCUCUUAGUCGUUCAAUUGAGUUCAGUUCCACCACUCCGUUACAGAAAAAGAUGUUUAGACCAAUACUGGUGAUAACUCUUGUGAUUCUGGUCCUGCAUGAGGGUAACACAGGUCCCUUGGUGGCUCCAUGUCCAGUCCCUAACUACUCGGGAUGGUCCAAGUUGGGGCCUCAUUGUGUUAAAUACUUUCCAAAUCCAGUCCCAUUUGAUCAAGCUGAGAUGAUGUGCAGAGGAGAAGCUCCAGAUACCCGUCUCGUAUCAAUUCAUAAUGCUGAAACCAAUAAUGGCUUGAAAAUUCUCACUGGGUCGUCAAAUUUGGUCUGGAUUGGAGGAAUAAAACUGCCUAAUGUAUGAGUGAAUACAUUUAACAGACAAUGGGCCUCAUUCUCGAACGCAGUUAAGAAGAAUUUAAGAAGGAAUUUCUUCUGAAUUGGAUUUAGGAAAACAUUUGGCAUUCAUGAAAGUUUUCU